GUCCCUUUGGGGACAUCCGAUAAAAUUGGAACGAUACAGAGAAGAUUAGCAUGGCCCCUGCGCAAGAAUGCUAUUCUCACUAUACUUACUAACUGAAUGCUG
rnacentral:snRNA from 1 species